rnacentral:rRNA from 1 species
CCUACGGGAGGCUGCAGUGAGGAAUAUUGGUCAAUGGGCGGGAGCCUGAACCAGCCAAGUCGCGUGAGGGAAGACGGUCCUAUGGAUUGUAAACCUCUGUAGGCGGGGAGCAAUGCCGGGCACGUGUGCCCGGAGGGAGAGUACCCGCAGAAUAAGCAUCGGCUAACUCCGUGCCAGCAGCCGCGGUAAUACGGAGGAUGCGAGCGUUAUCCGGAUUGAUUGGGGUUAAGGGGUGCGUAGGCGGAUUUUUAAGUCAGCGGUAAAAUGUCCGGGCUCAACCCGGGCCGGCCGUUGAAACUGGGGAUCUUGAGUGGGCGAGAAGGAUGCGGAAUGCGUGGUGUAGCGGUGAAAUGCAUAGAUAUCACGCAGAACUCCGAUUGCGAAGGCAGCAUACCGGCGCCCGACUGACGCUGAGGCACGAAAGCGUGGGGAUCGAACAGGAUUAGAUACCCUUGUAGUC